rnacentral:rRNA from 1 species
CCUACGGGAGGCAGCAGUGAGGAAUAUUGGUCAAUGGACGAGAGCCUGAACCAGCCAAGUAGCGUGAAGGAUGACUGCCCUAUGGGUUGUAAACUUCUUUUAUAUGGGAAUAAAAUGUUCCACGUGUGGGAUUUUGUAUGUACCAUAUGAAUAAGGAUCGGCUAACUCCGUGCCAGCAGCCGCGGUAAUACGGAGGAUCCGAGCGUUAUCCGGAUUUAUUGGGUUUAAAGGGUGCGUAGGUGGAUCGUUAAGUCAGUUGUGAAAGUUUGGGGCUCAACCGUAAAAGUGCAGUUGAAACUGGCAGUCUUGAGUACAGUAGAGGUAGGCGGAAUUCGUGGUGUAGCGGUGAAAUGCAUAGAGAUCACGAAGAACUCCGAUUGCGAAGGCAGCUCACUGG